rnacentral:lncRNA from 1 species
GAAUGUAAAAUUACCCAUGGCAGUCUUCAAUGUAAAAAUUUUGAUAUUUUAGGCUAAAUGGCUGUAGUCUGUUGUGCAUAGCAUGUGAAAUCCGUGUUAUUGGUUGCAACCAAGCUUUCCACCAUCUUUUCGCAACAUAUGCUAAUGCUGCACGCCACAGCAUAAUGAGAACUGGAAUACACAGGAUUCAGUGACUUUAAAAAUUGCAUUUGCAACAAAAUGUAUUGUGAUAUUUCUUGUGAAUGAAUCUUUCAAUUUAACUCCAAUUAAAUCACCAUGAGUAGACACAUGACAUGAUAGUAAGUAUAGGUUUGGGUUUGAAGUGGCAGAGGACAGUCCUAGUAUGCUUUCCAGACUGCUUGUAAAUUUUAAGGAGGUGGUGACAGAAUUGGCCUGUUCACAGCAAACAGAUAGAAACAGGAGAUCCCAAAGAUAGGACUUAACUUUUGCCACUCCCUUAGGUGCUUCUAUCAAUUGGAUUGGUUUUAACAUUGUUGAUUUGCAAUCUUCAGCUUGUUUACAACAGUUGGAAGUUUCUACACUCAUAAACCCUCAUCAAGAGUUUCAGAUUCAAGGGACUUUAAUGGCUAGAUGGUUUCUCUAAAAGGACAGCCACUACCUAAUCUCACAUUAAGCUAGAAUUUCAUACAAAAAGGUCCUACUUAAAUUGCCAUGAAUAAUUAAAAGAAAGGUGGGAAGAUUCUCACAAAGAAGACAGCCUUACAACUAAACCACAGAAGGUAAGUUACAAUGCUGGAAAGCAAGCAAUUCAAAAGCCAACUCCUGUUAACAAGACAGCUGCUCACAUCUAAGAGCUUAACUUUUUCUAUACUGGUAUUAACUGAUUUGGGGGCGGCACUGCUAAUCAAGAACAUAUAUUCUGCCUGCAAAUGAUGAUAGCACCAAAAUGCAAUCUCAAGAAAACUCAAAGCUUUCAGUAACUACUAUUCUUCGGUAGAAAAAUCUUUGAACCAAGUCAUUGCUGGUGUUAAGGACAAGUACAUACCUCAACAAUCUGUCCAGCUUGAGUUCAUCACCCAUCUAAUGUUAGCCUUAGGAAACCACUGGUCUUACUACAUAAGAAAAAACAAAUCUGUCAAUCAUGGAGAGAUCAUCACCCAUCUAACAUGGAAUUCCUGUAUAAAUUGUUCCGCAAAUUCUAUUAUGCCCUAUAGAUUAGAUCUCGUUGUGAUGUAAACUAGGCAAAUAACAGCAGAUAAGAGAUGAGGAUAUGAACCUGGUCAAAUUUGCUGAAACAGCCAAAAUUAAAAUUCAACUCAACCUGCUAAAAUAGAACAUUGACGUCCAUUAUAUCACUCCCUUAUUGACAACGAAAUCAACAAAUACUCGUGAAUCACAAGAUCAAUCAUCUGUGGCUCAAAUUAUCAGGAAGCAAGCAAAGGAAAAGAAAGUUAAGAAACGGAUAAACAGACACAUAUAUAAAGCAUCAAAACUCCAAAUAAACAAUACCAAGAAUCCAGAAACUCCAAUCAGGCACACCCAUCAAUGAUCAUCACAAAAAAUAUAAGAUUAAAAAAAAUCAUCAGUACAAGAACUGCAUAAAUAAUUCUAAGAACCUGAAAGUUCAGCCUAAGCACAUAAAUCCAGUGAUCACCAAUCAAAAUCAAACAAAAAAACUUUCAUAAACACAAAGAUCCCAACCACGAACCACCCACCAAGGCGUUAAAAGAUAAAAAUAAUAAAAAGUUGAUCAACGCAACCGGACCUCCAAGAGAAUAAGAUUAGCAACCAAUCAUUGAGGAACCCGUUUGUGCAUAGCAACCAAAAAAGAUCUUUAAGAUCUGUCCACAUCCUCAAAUGUCAAGGGUAAUUUGCUUUUACCCAGUAUUUACCAUUGAUUUUAUUGGUGAUACUACCAUGUUAACAGUCUCACAAUGAGCGUUAUGCCACUGGAUUUAAAGAUUGUUGGCUGGUUCAAUUGAAUUUCUAUUCGUCCUGAAAUGGGGUUAUGGAGAAGGGGAAAAUGGAGGGUAUUGGGGGAAAAGUGUAGCAGAAAUUGAGGUUGUCAAGUUAGGAGAGAAAAAGGGUCGAAUUAUAGGAGGAUUGGUGAAUGUCUGAACGAUUAUUUUAAGGAGGUAAAAGAAGAAUGAUAAAUUUAGGAGGAAUGAUGUUGCCAAAUCAUAAUAUGAGUGUUGCUAAAGUUUUGGAUUUCCUCAAAGCCAUUUUGACAAGGAAUGCUUGCUUCUAUUCACUCACUUUCCUCUUUAAUAAAAGGGAUUUACGGUACGUUUUUUACCAUCCAAAAUCUCUCAUGGAGGACUAC